AGUGAACGCUGGCGGUAGGCCUAACACAUGCAAGUCGAACGGCAGCACAGUAAGAGCUUGCUCUUACGGGUGGCGAGUGGCGGACGGGUGAGGAAUACAUCGGAAUCUACUUUUUCGUGGGGGAUAACGUAGAGAAACUUACGCUAAUACCGCAUACGACCUACGGGUGAAAGCAGGGGAUCUUCGGACCUUGCGCGAUUGAAUGAGCCGAUGUCGGAUUAGCUAGUUGGCGGGGUAAAGGCCCACCAAGGCGACGAUCCGUAGCUGGUCUGAGAGGAUGAUCAGCCACACUGGAACUGAGACACGGUCCAGACUCCUACGGGAGGCAGCAGUGGGGAAUAUUGGACAAUGGGCGCAAGCCUGAUCCAGCCAUACCGCGUGGGUGAAGAAGGCCUUCGGGUUGUAAAGCCCUUUUGUUGGGAAAGAAAAGCAGCAGGUUAAUACCCCGCUGUUCUGACGGUACCCAAAGAAUAAGCACCGGCGAACUUCGU
rnacentral:rRNA from 1 species